UACGGGGGGGGCAAGCGUUGUUCGGAAUUACUGGGCGUAAAGGGCGCGUAGGCGGUCCUCUAAGUCCGAUGUGAAAUCCCACGGCUUAACCGUGGAACUGCGUCUGAUACUGGAGGGCUUGAGUCCGGGAGAGGGAUGUGGAAUUCCAGGUGUAGCGGUGAAAUGCGUAGAUAUCUGGAGGAACACCGGUGGCGAAGGCGGCAUCCUGGACCGGUAUUGACGCUGAGGCGCGAAAGCUAGGGGAGCAAACGGG
rnacentral:rRNA from 1 species